rnacentral:rRNA from 1 species
GACGUAGGGCGCGAGGCGUUGUCCGGAUUUAUUGGGCGUAAAGAGCUCGUAGGCGGCUUGUUGCGUCGACUGUGAAAACCUGCGGCUCAACCGUGUGGUCUGCAGUCGAUACUACUCAGCUAGAGUAUGGGAGAGGGCAGUGGAAUUCCCGGUGUAGCGGUGAAAUGCGUAGAAUAUCGGGAGGAACAUCAGUGGCGAAGGCGGCUGCCUGGCCCAAUACUGACACUCAGGUGCGACAGCGUGGGGAGCAAACAGG